AGAGUUUGAUCCUGGCUCAGAACGAACGCUGGCGGCAUGCCUAACACAUGCAAGUCGAACGAGACCUUCGGGUCUAGUGGCGCACGGGUGCGUAACGCGUGGGAAUCUGCCCUUGGGUUCGGAAUAACUCGCCGAAAGGCGUGCUAAUACCGGAUGAUGUCGUAAGACCAAAGAUUUAUCGCCCAGGGAUGAGCCCGCGUAAGAUUAGGUAGUUGGUGAGGUAAAGGCUCACCAAGCCGACGAUCUUUAGCUGGUCUGAGAGGAUGAUCAGCCACACUGGGACUGAGGCACGGCCCAGACUCCCACGGGAGGCAGCAGUGGGGAAUAUUGGACAAUGGGCGAAAGCCUGAUCCAGCCAUGCCGCGUGAGUGAUGAAGGCCCUAGGGUUGUAAAGCUCUUUUGUCCGGGAAGAUAAUGACUGUACCGGAAGAAUAAGCUCCGGCUAACUCCGUGCCAGCAGCCGCGGUAAUA
rnacentral:rRNA from 1 species